rnacentral:tRNA from 1 species
GCCUUAACUGGAUCUGGCGUCAUCAACUCUGUCAUUCGUAAUGACGGGGUCGGGGGUUCGAAUCCCUCUUGCGGCACCA